rnacentral:rRNA from 1 species
CCUACGGGAGGCAGCAGUGAGGAAUAUUGGUCAAUGGACGAGAGUCUGAACCAGCCAAGUAGCGUGAAGGAUGACUGCCCUAUGGGUUGUAAACUUCUUUUAUAUGGGAAUAAAAUGUUCCACGUGUGGGAUUUUGUAUGUACCAUAUGAAUAAGGAUCGGCUAACUCCGUGCCAGCAGCCGCGGUAAUACGGAGGAUCCGAGCGUUAUCCGGAUUUAUUGGGUUUAAAGGGAGCGUAGGUGGAUUGUUAAGUCAGUUGUGAAAGUUUGCGGCUCAACCGUAAAAUUGCAGUUGAAACUGGCAGUCUUGAGUACAGUAGAGGUGGGCGGAAUUCGUGGUGUAGCGGUGAAAUGCUUAGAUAUCAGGAAGAACUCCGAUUGCGAAGGCAGUUCACUGGACUGCAACUGAUACUGAGGCUCGAAAGUGUGGGUAUCAAACAGGAUUAGAUACCCGAGUAGUC